GCAGCAUUGCAGAAGGGAGGAGGUGGAGAUUCUGUCCUCAGUGCCUAGGGCCCUGCCUGGAUCUGGUUUUGCAGAGGGGAGGACGUAGAGAUUCUGUCCUCAGUGCCCAGGGCCCUGCCUGGAUCUGGUUUUGCAGAGGGGAGGACGUAGAGAUUCUGUCCUCAGCGCCCAGGGCCCUGCCUGGAUCUGGUUUUGCAGCUCCAGGGGAAACGUUUUGCACAAAUUCUCACUGGGAGCAUUAUCAGGGCUGCAGCACUUCAGUCUCUCCUGAUCUGAAUCCUUUUAACAUUAGCUGUGAUGCUGAGAAGGAUGAAAUUGAUGACACCAACAUCUGGUGGAAGACAAAAACCAGAGGGAUUUCCACCCAGGCAGAGCCCCUCCGCAGGCCUCCCCUCUUUGUGGCCUGAGGUCGGAGAGGCCUCUGGAGCAAGCCAGCGGAUGGAAUUCUCAGUUUUCUUCCAUUUGAUUAUUUUCCUAUUUUGACGUCUUUGAAAAAUGGCUCAGCCUUAUGGUGCAUGCGUUUUCUGAUUGCUUUUGUCUUUGUUUUAUUCUGAAUCAAGGACCGUGGCCACUGUGGGCUCCUCAUCCAGGACGUGGGGGCCCUCCGGGGCCUCAGUCCAUCCAUGCUGCAGUACAUGGUGAUUCUCAUGCAGAGGAUGAUCUCAGGGAUCAGCUUGAGCUGGCAGAGAAUUAAAUUAUAUGGUUUAUAAGAGUCCUGCCUCAGGGUCAGUGACACCAGGCCUGUCUCUGCUGCUAGCAAGGCCGACUUUCUUAUGUGCUGUCAUCGUGGUAAAAGCCUUGCCCACGUGAUGAAGACCCUGGACGGCUCUACUUGAGACAGAUUUCAGCUACGUUGCCUGGGAGUCUCUGGUACUUCUUCAAGGUUCUACUGAAGACAAUGACGUCAUCCAAGUACCUUGCAGUGCCUAAGUAGCUCUUGCCGCGGGAGCUCUGAGACCCCCUGUUAUCUAUUUUCGAAUUGGCCAAGGACCCCCGGCCAGGCAGGGGAUGCUCUGCCCAUCCUCGUCAGCCCUCGUGUCUUGUGAUCCUCCCCCAGCCUCCUGGCAAGCAUCCCUGUGCUUUCCGCGGGUGAGCGUGGCUGAGCUCAGUCUCGCUUACUACAACGGCAGGCACGAGGUCUGCGGAACUAAGAAGGCUCCUCUUUGCUCACUGGCCUUUCCUUUAAGUCCCUGGUCACUAACCUCUGGCAAGACAAUCCUUCUUGUGUUUUCUGGCGAUGGACUUGAGUGAUUACAAUGUGCCCUAGAGAGGACAGAUGCAUGGCUGUGGAGUCUUGUUCUGUGAUAUGUCAGGUAUGUGCUUGGGCGCGCGGAGGCUGCAGGAGGUGGACAGGAAUGGUCUUUCUCUUGCUCUGAGUCGCAUGUGUGGGCCAGCCCACGGGUUCUGUGGAGGAGAAUCCAGCUGCCCACCUGGCUGAGUCUAGCCCUGGGCUGGCGAUGGCCGAACCCCAGUUCCAUUCCCGGACCUUCCCUAGGCUGCUGGGUGGGUUCCCUGGCCACUGUCGCUGGGCUAAUCCAUUCUAUCUUCUCCUGGGGCGAGGCCAUUGCCGUGCUGUGCUGGUGCUGGCUCUUCAGGCAGCUCUUCAGCUCCGUGGCUCCCGGCCCAGCCCAGGCCUAACACAGGCCUGUCCCUAGUGUUCGUGCACUGAGCUUUGUGUCUAUUGCUGGUUUUUCUUUUCUUUUAAAACUUACUUCGCAGAAGGAAUUCGGCCUGAGCAGCUGAGCUUCCGUGGUAGCCUCUCCUGCUCAAAGCCGUCGUUUGCUCCCAUAUACCUGGCCUGCCAGUUUCCAUUCUCUCUUUCCCUUGUUUCAUCUUUUCUGCAGUAGGUCCUCUAGUUUCAACCACAGGUGUUUACAGUGUUGCAGUUUUAAUUUGUCGUUGUUGCAUUUAGUUUACUUGACGCACGUUCAAAACUGCAAAAUGCUGGUUCCUACCCGUCUCUGAUGUCACCAAAGGCUGCCCAGAGGCCUGCAGCACAUUGACGAUGGUCUUAGUAUUACACAGCUGUCUGACCAGUACCACAAAUCCAGAGUCCAAGCAGCUCAGGUUUGCCUUCUCCCUGUCUGUGUGGGUCCAGCGCCCUGGGCUCAGCAGGGCCUCCUGCUCCUGCUCCUGUAGGGUGGGCUGGGCCUUCCCACACGGGCCUGGGGAGGAGCCUCUCCUAGGUGCUGGCAGGGCCCUGGCCUUUACUUAUUCCCUCUGAUGCCAGCCAGCUACUGCAGCCCUGGUGGCGUCUCCCUGGGGGUGCCCGGGUGCAGGUGUCCGCUGCCGGGCCGUGGGUGUCUCAUUCUGUGUCCGGACCUCUCUGUGAUGUGAACCUUGGGCUUUUUUUUUUUUUUUUUUUUUUUUUCAGAUGUUAAGGGAGUCCACCACAUGUUUCCAUGUUUUACUGUUCCUGGAACUGAAUUUGUUUGUGAUGUGAGUCAGAAAUCCUGUCACAUUUUUCCACGUGGAUAUCCAGGGCCCCCGCCGUUUGUGGGAAGGCCGCACCUUCUGCCCGCUCUGCUGUCCAUCCGCGUGCCCAUCUCCAUGGGUUUCUCUCUGCACGGCUUGUUCUGUCCUGCAUGUCCAUCCUUGAGAUCGUUUUUCUCUGGCUUAAUGAUUACAGCUGUACGUUUCAUUUUCAUGGCUGGGAUCUGCAGGACGAGCUUACAUAUAGGUCCUUGCUGAUUUUUUUGCCUGCCUUUUCCAUUAGUUCCUGAGACAAGCAUUUUAAAACCAAACAACAUAACUGAGGAGCUGUCUGUCACCCUUCGUGAUUCUGAAAACACGUGCUGCAUGUGUUUUGAGGUUGUUAUUUGGAGCAUGUGCAUUUACAAUUGUCUUACUGCCUUUGCAGUUUGAGUUUUUAUUAAAUGUUUCUCUUCAUCUCUGGUCAUGCUUUAUGCCGUAGAGUCUGUUAUUAGCAGAGCUACUCCAGGUUUAUUUUUCAUGAUAUUAUUUUCACUUCUUUUUACUUUCCAACUUUUAUAUCAUUAUGUUGAAGGUAUCUCUUUUGUUAAUCACAUAGUUGCAUUGUGUUUUCUUUUUUCAAAUAUGUAUGAGCAGCAUAAAAUUGGAUGUUCCUUUGAAACAACAGCAGUCAGAAGUCCAUGAGGAGGUGUCUUCUGACUGCGAGGAUAAGGGUGGAUCACCUUAAUGCAAUCAGGGAAUGAUGUGUUAGAAGCAUCUAUAGUUCCUGCUUCCCCUAAUUUCUAGCUGUAGCCAUUUGAAGAUUCUAAGCAAGUCCUCAACUGUUCAGCAGAGCCUCUGGUCCAGCAUGAGACCAAAACCCAGGAGCUGGUCUCGCCCUUGGCCCUCCUAACUCUCCAGCGUGUCCAGCCUGACUGGGAGAAACGUCCUGUUCAGGUGUUUGGUUGUCUAAGUGCUUCCCGCGGGGACGCCGGGCCUGAGCCUCUGUGAGAAGGGGAGAUCCCUGUGCAGUGUGGACCAACUUCUUUCCCUUUUCCAGGCUCCCAGUUUCUCCGCCUGUGCUGAGACCUUGUUUCCCAGGACCUCGGUGGACUUGGCUUUCAUGACUGGUGCCUCACCCCAGCACAUGUGCCUAAAAUAACAGAAAAAUACAGUGCCUGCAUGUUGGGAGCAAGCCCCCCAAAGUCUGGCCCCAAAACUGGCCAUAAAUAAAAUCUCUGCAGCAAUGUAACAUGUCCAUAAUGGCCAUAAAGCCCAAGCUGGAAGGUUGUGGGUUUACAGGAAUGACGGUAAGGAACACCUGGCCCGCUCAGGGCGGAAAACUGGUUAAAGGCAUUUUUAAGCCAUAAACAAUUAGCCUGAGCGAUCUGUGCCUUAAGGGCGUGUUCCUGCUGCAAUUAAUUCAGCCCAUCCCUUCGUUUCCCUUAAGGGAUACUUUCAGUUAAUUUAAUAUCCAUAGAAACAAUGCUAAUGACUGGUUUGCUGUUAAUAAAUAUGUGGGUAAAUCUCUGUUCGGGGCUCUCAGCUCUGAAGGCUGUGAGACCCCUGAUAUCCCACUUUACACCUCUGUAU
rnacentral:lncRNA from 1 species